GGCGAACGGGUGCGUAACACGUGAGCAAUCUGCCGAUUUCUGGGGGAUAGCCGGCCCAACGGCGGGUAAUACCGCAUACGCUCGUCGAGGGGAGUCCCUUGACGAGGAAACCUCCGGGGGAAAUCGAGGAGCUCGCGGCCUAUCAGCUAGUUGGCGGGGUAAUGGCCCACCAAGGCGAUGACGGGUAGCUGGUCUGAGAGGAUGGCCAGCCACAUUGGGACUGAGAAACGGCCCAGACUCCUACGGGAGGCAGCAGUGGGGAAUCUUGCGCAAUGGCCGAAAGGCUGACGCAGCGACGCCGCGUGUGGGAGGACGCCCUUCGGGGUGUAAACCACUGUUGCCCGGGACGAAUGACCCUUUCGAGGGGAGUGACGGUACCGGGUGAGGAAGCACCGGCUAACUCCGUGCCAGCCGCCGCGG
rnacentral:rRNA from 1 species